GUGGGGAAUAUUGGACAAUGGGCGAAAGCCUGAUCCAGCCAUGCCGCGUGUGUGAAGAAGGUCUUCGGAUUGUAAAGCACUUUAAGUUGGGAGGAAGGGCAGUAAGUUAAUACCUUGCUGUUUUGACGUUACCGACAGAAUAAGCACCGGCUAACUUCGUGCCAGCAGCCGCGGUAAUACGAAGGGUGCAAGCGUUAAUCGGGAUUACUGGGCGUAAAGCGCGCGUAGGUGGUUCAGCAAGUUGAAGGUGAAAUCCCCGGGCUCAACCUGGGAACUGCCUCCAAAACUGCAUGACUAGAGUACGGUAGAGGGUAGUGGAAUUUCCUGUGUAGCGGUGAAAUGCGUAGAUAUAGGAAGGAACACCAGUGGCGAAGGCGACUACCUGGACUGAUACUGACACUGAGGUGCGAAAGCGUGGGGAGCAAACAGGAUUAGAAACCCUGGUAGUCC
rnacentral:rRNA from 1 species